rnacentral:rRNA from 1 species
ACACGGAGGUCGCAAGCGUUGCUCGGAAUCACUGGGCGUAAAGCGGGUGUAGGCGGUCUAGCAAGUCAGAUGUGAAAGCCCACGGCUCAACCGUGGAAGUGCAUCUGAAACUGCUAGACUUGAGUGCCGGAGAGGGAAGUGGAAUUCCUGGUGUAGGGGUGAAAUCCGUAGAUAUCAGGAGGAACACCGGUGGCGAAGGCGACUUCCUGGACGGCCACUGACGCUGAGACACGAAAGCGUGGGGAGCAAACAGGAUUAGAAACCCUAGUAGUCC